AACGGAGGGGGCAAGUGUUUCUCGUACUGACUGGGCAUAAAGGGCACGUAGGCGGUCUUAGAACUGGGCUAUCAUCAGUUUUAAACACUGCUGGCUAACAACAGAGCUGGAUAGCUAUAAUAGUUCUGGACUACGAGUAGGGCUCAGGUCUGUAGAAGUUACUAGCGGAGGGGUGGAAUCCGGCGAGGCUAGCAGGAAUGCCAACAGGUGAAAGCGAUUUUCUGGAGCUUACUGACGUUUGAGGUGCGCAAGCAUGGGGAUCAAAUAGG
rnacentral:rRNA from 1 species